rnacentral:pre_miRNA from 1 species
ACAACAUUUGGAACGUUGGUCUACCUAGCAAUAUCACCCGCUCUGUUGAAGGUUUUCUCUCCGUCGU